GGCUCAUAGAGAAACAAACUAAUGGAGGAACAGGAAAGAAAGUCUACACUUGUGCAACCCUUAUGGCCCCAAAGAUACUUUGAUAUGGAAUGAAGAUGUUAUGCCAGUAAGUUUUGGUGUCUGCUCCUCUUAUGAAUCAGAAGCAGUGGCAAACACAGUGUGCUGUGCCUCUAUUGGGUACGUACCAUCCCUGUUCCUUGCAGCUAGAUGGAGAACAGCAGUUCAGCUUAUUGCCUCAUGGAUGGACAAAGAAAGCCUUGUUCUCGGUCAUGCUGAUGUUUCUUUUCCACUUGGCACAGGCUUUCCAAAACACAUCACAUGCUGCGGGCAGCCAGCCAGCCUACCUGUCUGAGAAAAACAGACCUGAGUCUCCCUGCCCCACCCUGACCUCUUGGGAUGAUAACCCGCUGGCAAGAAACAUCAGCAAUAACUGUUUGGAAAACAGAUGCCUGACAACUUCUCCAUGCAACUGACUAUCCCUGCUGCCUCUCAUCCCAACAUGGCCCUCAGUGGCCAUCAAGAUGCUCCCCUUGCUCAUGACCCACUGCAGUGUCCUUUCAUACUUCUGGAAAACUGGUGCUGGAGAGAUCCAACCCGUGGGAGUGUGCCGCUUCCUGAGCAACAAAUACUCAAAGCUUUUUGCUAACUGAUGGGGAAAGCCUGCAGGGUGGCAAAGUGGAGCGCCCUGCUAGCUUUACGCAUCUGUUUCUUUUAGGUAGCACCUAGAAAUCCCAACAACACAUCUCUGAUGUGGAAUAUAGUAAAAGCCACGAAACAAGCUUGUUUGCUGAACAGAGGAUCCCCGUGCAGAAUCAGUCCCAAUCCAGAGGAGGAGAUGGAGACUUUGUGACUCUGUGCUGCAGGAGAAGUGCAGCUAGACUGAAACUAAAUGCUAGCACACUCCUUAGACUCCCGGUGAAAAUACAUCCACGGAUGCCAACCAGAUUAUUCCAGGCUGCCCUGCAUUGCAUUAUGCCUGGCUGAUCACUGCUUGCAGAGCCAGAGCUUCAGGUCAUUGCAGAGAGAGAAAAGGAGUGAUGUGGAUGUUCCAAGCAGAGCCCGAAGACAUUCAGGGAGAUUGAUGGAGGAUACCCGGGCUGUCCGAUUGGCUGCUGCUCUCCCCGAGCUCCAGUUGAGAGGGCAAACUGAGAGCAAGCACAGCAGCCUCGGGGAUGGAGAGAGCCAGGGAGCCCCUGGGGGACGGGGCUGAGCAGGGCGAGAUUCUGCACGCUUCCCUGGGAGGUGGGGAAGGACCUGAUCCAAAGCCCUUCACUGCCUGCAGAAGGGAUCCCACUCAUCUGCUAAUGGUUAAAAAUCACGCAGUUAAUGCCUGGGCUCCCAGCA
ensembl:lncRNA